rnacentral:rRNA from 1 species
AUUGAACGCGGCGGCAGGCCUAACACUGCAGUCGAGCGGAAACGAGUUAUCUGAACCUUCGGGGAAUGAUAAGGCGUCGAGCGGCGGACGGGUGAGUAAUGCCUAGGAAAUUGCCUGAUGUGGGGGAUAACCAUUGGAAACGAUGGCUAAUACCGCAUGAUGCCUACGGGCCAAAGAGGGGGACCUUCGGGCCUCUCGCGUCAGGAUAUGCCUAGGUGGGAUUAGCUAGUUGGUGAGGUAAGGGCUCACCAAGGCAACGAUCCCUAGCUGGUCUGAGAGGAUGAUCAGCCACACUGGAACUGAGACACGGUCCAGACUCCUACGGGAGGCAGCAGUGGGGAAUAUUGCACAAUGGGCGCAAGCCUGAUGCAGCCAUGCCGCGUGUAUGAAGAAGGCCUUCGGGUUGUAAAGUACUUUCAGCAGUGAGGAAGGCGGGUACGUUAAUAGCGUGCUCGUUUGACGUUAGCUGCAGAGGAAGCACCGGCUAACUCCGUGCCAGCAGCCGCGGUAAUACGGAGGGUGCGAGCGUUAAUCGGAAUUACUGGGCGUAAAGCGCAUGCAGGUGGUUUGUUAAGUCAGAUGUGAAAGCCCGGGGCUCAACCUCGGAAUAGCAUUUGAAACUGGCAGACUAGAGUACUGUAGAGGGGGGUAGAAUUUCAGGUGUAGCGGUGAAAUGCGUAGAGAUCUGAAGGAAUACCGGUGGCGAAGGCGGCCCCCUGGACAGAUACUGACACUCAGAUGCGAAAGCGUGGGGAGCAAACAGG